AAUCCACGAGGCAACGCACUUCAAUUUUCCAAUAGCAACUGAGCAAUUUAGCAAACUGCUUACCCACAAAAAGCAGCGUGCCAGAUAUGGUUGUAUAACACUGGCCAAUAGAUGGCAGCACACAUUAGCAUGUUGGCCCCAUUCUGUGAUGCACAAAUGGAAAGCACUGCUGGUCCUUUCGGUCCCCCAGCACCACUCAGCCACGUAGGCUGCAGUAGCAACAUGAGCACACAGGGAUUCUGCUGAUCACCCCUCAAUGUAAAGCCUUACUAUACCAGCCAGUAACCACAACCCCUGUGGUAGCGCUAAGAAAUCUUCAGCAGAAACAAUACGAAACAGCGGGCUGGUUGAGUCCAGCACAACGGAUGCACUCGUCACAAGCUCCAGGAUUUUGAACUGCAGCUGGAGGAGAAAACAACAAACCCAGCGAGAGAAAAAUGUAUUAUCAUUACAUUAACAGAUUGGAUAUAGCAUAAUUAGUGCUCUGGCAUCUGUUUCUCCCGUAGGUCUCCCACGUGUACUUUCAGAAUGUAUCCCAUAGGGGGCUAUGUGGUGAUCACGAAUAUUAUCCUCAAGGCUUUUGCUUGGAAAAAAAUAAAUUCUAAUAUAGACAAGAAAACAGUGUAAUGUAUAAUUUCCGUGCUACUUAAAGACAAUAAACAAUGACAUCACGUCAACCUGCAAGCC